rfam:Medicago truncatula strain A17 chromosome 4, whole genome shotgun sequence.
AGUCGUGUAAUGAUGACAUAGCGAACUAUUAUUUCGCUUUUUACUAAAGAAUACCAUGUCAGCAUCACAUUUAGCGGUAUACGUUAGUUUUUUUUUUGGAUGGAUGGUAUCAUAUUU